CCCUACACGCACGGCAGGUCGGCAGCAGCAUCAAUGGAUCAGAUGGAAAGCUUUUCUGUGAGGCCACCACCUCAACCAUAAGGACACGGGACACCACGUACUUACCGGGUAUCUCCGCGGAGAAGAUGUGCUCCUUGUCGUUCUCGUGCCAGUCAAUGUUGGUGCGAGCCAUGGCGGUGGCGUCGUCGCGGCUGCCGCCUUCGCCGCCUCGGCGGCCGGCGUCCAAGGGCCAGGAAGCGCCGAAGGGGUCCCAGAGGUCGGAGGAGAAGGGGUCCCAGAGGUCGGAGGAGAAGGGGUCCAUCCCUCCCCGGCCACCGCCGAACCAAGGCAUAAGCGACAUGGCUGACACGCACGGUGGGUGUUUGGUUGGCACUAUGUCCCACGAGACGGAUAUGCUACCAGGCUGUUUGUGGUGGCAAGAGCGCUUUCUCCUGGGCAGUUUUAUAGCACUCCAAAGCGCUUGCAUACAUGGCCGCGUGGAGCAUCGGCUUGACACGUUCGCUGUGUACGUGCCGCCCGCGUGCACAGGUGUUGCCGCAGCGACGACUCUUGUGAUGCUUGCCGCUGGCCACUCCGGCCGCGGCGGCCACCAGAUCCCGGUGCGCGCCGGGCGCGCCCUCUCGCCAAAGAGCCAUGGGGCGCUCGCGCUCGUCCAGAUCCACCGGCGGUCGACGUUGGUGCCAGUCGACGUUGGUGCGAGCCGUCGCGGCUGCCGCCUUGGCGUCCGGCGUCCAAGGGCCAGGAAGCGCCGAAGGGGUCCCAGAGGUCGGAGGAGAAGGGGUCCAUCCCUCCCCGGCCACCGCUGAACCAAGGCAUGAGCGACAUGGCUGGCUGACACGCACGGCGAUGUUUGGUUGAAACGAUGUCCCACGAGACAGAUAUGCUACCGGGCUGUUUGUAGUGG
rnacentral:lncRNA from 1 species